rnacentral:rRNA from 1 species
GAUGAACGCUGGCGGCGUGCUUAACACAUGCAAGUCGAACGAUGAAGCCCAGCUUGCUGGGUGGAUUAGUGGCGAACGGGUGAGUAACACGCGAGUAACCUGCCCUUAACUCUGGGAUAAGCCUGGGAAACUGGGUCUAAUACCGGAGAGGAGCGUCCACCGCAUGGUGGGUGUUGGAAAGAUUUAUCGGUUUUGGAUGGACUCGCGGCCUAUCAGCUUGUUGGUGAGGUAAUGGCUCACCAAGGCGACGACGGGUAGCCGGCCUGAGAGGGUGACCGGCCACACUGGGACUGAGGCACGGCCCAGACUCCUACGGGAGGCAGCAGUGGGGAAUAUUGCACAAUGGGCGCAAGCCUGAUGCAGCGACGCCGCGUGAGGGAUGACGGCCUUCGGGUUGUAAACCUCUUUCAGUAGGGAAGAAGCGAAAGUGACGGUACCUGCAGAAGAAGCACCGGCUAACUACGUG